CUCCCUCAAGACCAACAUACAAAACAGGCCACGACCAAAGUUCAGUUCUGUGUUAAAGACGGAGUAGUAACAUAAUCCUCUUCAGCAGCUAGAAUGUCUUGUCAACGUGUGCUCUUCCUGGUGCUCCUGGUUUUCCUAUCACUUAAUAUUGUGCAGAAUGAGGCUGCAUCAUUUCCCUUCUCUUGCCCCACCCUGAGUGGAGUCUGUCGAAAAGUUUGCCUACCAACAGAGAUGUUCUUUGGACCACUUGGCUGUGGAAAGGGAUUCUUGUGCUGUGUUUCUCAUUUCUUAUGACAACUGAGUAGUUCCUAGAUCAGUUCUGAUCAUUAACACAUGGGACAUAUGUGAAUAAAGACAUCACCACCAUCACA